UACGAAGGGGGCUAGCGUUGCUCGGAAUUACUGGGCGUAAAGCGCACGUAGGCGGCUUGUUAAGUCAGGGGUGAAAUCCUGGAGCUCAACUCCAGAACUGCCUUUGAUACUGGCGAGCUUGAGUUCGGGAGAGGUGAGUGGAACUGCGAGUGUAGAGGUGAAAUUCGUAGAUAUUCGCAAGAACACCAGUGGCGAAGGCGGCUCACUGGCCCGAUACUGACGCUCAUGCACGAAAGCGUGGGGAGCAAACAGG
rnacentral:rRNA from 1 species